UUCACUUGCUGAAUGGGGUCAUGACCUUAAGGCAGACUUUUAUGAUUAUGAUUGGAAACUGCUUGACCAGUGCGGCUGGAAUUCAUCCCAUUCUGACAGACGGGCAGGCAGGGGGACAAAGCGAACAGAGCCACUGGAGCUUAUAGGUACCGACGUAAACCUGGUAAGCAGAGGGACGUACUGCAGGCAAUACGGGGAUAGGAAGGUGGCGGUGGGAAACUGGAAACUGUAGGGAGCAAAGCGAUGUUUGAAGUGUGAAAAUAUAACUGGCAAAAUAGUCAGAUGCACGAAAGAUGUGAUGGAGGGAAGGGAGUCAAUAUCACUUGAGCCCAUAAAUAAUAGUGGAAAGGCCAAACAGAGAUUUAUGAAUUUGAAUUCAGUCGGUCACAGGUGGGAGAACAGCUGGACUUGCUGUAGGACCAGGCUUCUUAAUCUGCGAACUGCCCUUUGACAAGGUUGACACCGAAUGAUGUGAAUUUUGUUGAGCCUACAAAGAGCACGGUGAUUGUGUUAAUAUGAAAACACACCAUGUAUUAAAAAGAAAAAAAAAACAAAAAACGAAUUGCCUCAUUAACACACAUGAAAGCCACUAAAGAAAAGACAGCAGGUAUUCUCAAAGGCACAGAUGAAAUUACAAGACAGAGUGGACACUGCAGUGCUGAUUAAACAGCUCCUCAGCAGCAUCAUCUAUUCUAGGCCCCCUGGGAACCUCAGGUACAACUUGUAUAGAGACACGGAGAAGUUAGUCGUAGAUUUCUUUAGUAUGAACAUGAAUCAAACUUUUUAAAAAUAGCCUGAAAUAUUGUAUGUGUUGUUAGUAAACUAUGACACAGUAAACACUGAGCCAUGAAAGGUUUGUUAAGUAAUUCUCUGUCACAAGGCAGCUCAGAGUCCAACAGAUAAGAGGAAGCAAAACUUUAACUACACGCGGCAGCAACUGCAUGGCUUUAUGAGCUGACCCAGAAAAUGGUGUAGACGCCCACUGGGAAUCCGGGAUUUUCAGUAGGAGCCCAUAAAGAACUCGUAAAAUCUGUUAAGUUACAUGGUGUUUGCAUUUCUCCUAUGAAUGUUUCAUUUGUAUUGAAAUGGCUUUCCUGUGGAGGAACAGUAUACAUGACACAGUGGGCUCAGCAGUAUAACAAGACGACUGUGGAGUGGAGCGAACAGAGAGGUUUACGAGACAUCAUGCAAAACGGGAGUCAAUGAAGAGGCAUGAGGGACUCUGAAGAGGGUGGAUAGUAGUAGGCAUGCAGGUUAUUCACUGGAUAGGAGGAUGGAUGGAUGGAUGGAUGGGGUGGUCCAGGUCCAAAAUCAGCAUUGAGUGAAAAAAUUACAUCAGCGCAUAAAGCCAAGAGAGAGCUGCAGUCAGGACAUAGGUGAUCUAAUCCAUGUUAGAUGUUAACACCCAUUGAAAGUCAUUCUGGAGCUGAAGAGGACACUCUGGCAUUAAUUACAAGUUUCCAUCUCUCCAUCUUUGUUCCAGUUACUUCACGCCUCAUCUCUGUUGUACCAAGUUAGUUGGAUUUACUUGUGCUUGCCAAAGAAAUUAAAUCUGACCUUGAAAGAAA